GCAAACUUGGUCAUUUAGAGGAAGUAAAAGUCGUAACAAGGUCUCCGUAGGUGAACCUGCGGAGGGAUCAUUACCGAGUGAGGGUCCUCUGGAUCCGACCUCCCUCCCUAUGUGGUCUAAUCUCACACCCGUGCCUCGGGGGUGACCCGCCUGCGCUACGGCGCGGCGCGGGGCCCCCGGCGGACCCCAAAACACGAUCUUAGUGAUGUCGAGUCGGAAGGGAUAAUCGCGACGCAAAACUUUCAACAAUGGAUCUCUUGGUUCUGGCAUCGAUGAAGAACGCAGC
rnacentral:misc_RNA from 1 species